rnacentral:rRNA from 1 species
UACGGGGGGGGGUAAGCGUUGUCCGGAAUUAUUGGGCGUAAAGGGUGCGUAGGUGGCAUGGUAAGUUUGAUGUGAAAGCUCAGGGCUUAACCCUGAAAUGGCAUUGAAUACUACUGUGCUGGAGGUUUGGAGGGGGGACUGGAAUUCUUGGUGUAGCAGUGAAAUGCGUAGAUAUCAAGAGGAACACCAGUGGCGAAGGCGAGUCCCUGGACAACACCUGACACUGAGGCACGAAAGCUAGGGGAGCAAACAGG